rnacentral:lncRNA from 1 species
CUUGAUUGCUUUAAGAUAUCUUGGUACUAACUUCGUUUAUUAAAGAUGCAAAAGAUUCGGGUGAGGUAGGUACUUCUUGGAUGUUUCAGAAAACAACUACAAGAAUCUUUUCAUUUUGAGGACUGUCCUCUGAAUCUCUGAUGAAAGCAAAUAGGAGAUACAUACCCAUGGAACAAUGCAAAUAAAUAGAUAACAUCACAUCAAUAGAGUAGAUUGAUAUCAUCAAGCUUAAUCAACCCUGCACAGUUUAUUGCUUCUGACUGCCUUGCAGACAUAGGUCACCGAAAACUAUGUUUGACCUGUGCCCCUG